rnacentral:rRNA from 1 species
GAUGAACGCUGGCGGCGUGCCUAACACAUGCAAGUCGAGCGGACGGACGAGAAGCUUGCUCCUCUGCUGUUAGCGGCGGACGGGCGAGUAACACGUGCAUCACCUACUUCUUUGUCUGGGAUAAUUUCGGGAGACCGGAUCUACUACCAGAUAAUAUUUUGAACCGCAUGGUUCAAAGGUGCAUGACGGCCUUGGUGUCUCUAAUAGCUGUUUCCGGGCUGGAUUAGCUAGUUGGUAAGGUAACGGCUUACCAAGGCGACGAUGCGUAGCUGACCUGAGAGGAUGAUCGGCCACACUGGAACUGAGACACGGUCCAGACUCCUACGGGAGGCAGCAGUAGGGAAUCUUGGACAAAGGGCGAAAGCCUGAUGCAGCAAUGCCGCGUGAGUGAUGAAGGUCUUCGGGUCGUAAAGCUCUGUUGUUGGGGAAGAACAGCAGUGUAUUUAUAUGUGGCUGUCUUGACGGUACCUAAAGAAAAAGCACCGGCUAACUACGUG